GAUGAACGCUGGCGGCGUGCCUAAUACAUGCAAGUCGUGCGGCAGCAUGCCCUUCGGGGUGAUGGCGAGCGGCGGACGGCUGAGUAACGCGUGGGAACGUGCCCCAAAGUGAGGGAUAACUGCUCGAAAGAGUAGCUAAUACCGCAUAUGGUCUUCGGAUUAAAGCUUCGGCGCUUUGGGAGCGGCCCGCGUCUGAUUAGAUAGUUGGUAGGGUAAUGGCCUACCAAGUCGACGAUCAGUAGCUGGUCUGAGAGGAUGAUCAGCCAGACUGGAACUGAGACACGGUCCAGACUCCUACGGGAGGCAGCAGUAAGGAAUCUUCCACAAUGGGGGCAACCCUGAUGGAGCAACGCCGCGUGAAGGAUGAAGGCCUUAGGGUUGUAAACUUCUUUUGUUAGCGAAGAAUAUGACGGUAACUAACGAAUAAGGGUCGGCUAACUACGUGCCAGCAGCCGCCGUAA
rnacentral:rRNA from 1 species